CGACUUAAAUUUAUUUAGGGAGCCGCGAACGGCUGAGUAACACGUAAGGACUUGCCCUUUGGAGGGGGAUAGCCCCGAGAAAUCGGGAGUAAUACCGCAUAAUAUUGUUUACAAUCAAAGAGCUUAACUGCUCACCAAAGGAGAGACUUGCGGCCCAUCAGCUUGUUGGUAGGGUAACGGCCUACCAAGGCUACGACGGGUAGGGGAUGUGAGAGCAUGACCCCCCAGAAUGGUACUGAGAACGGACCAU
rnacentral:rRNA from 1 species